UAAUUGAAGAGUUUGAUCAUGGCUCAGAUUGAACGCUGGCGGCAGGCUUAACACAUGCAAGUCGAGCGGUAGCACAGGGGAGCUUGCUCCCUGGGUGACGAGCGGCGGACGGGUGAGUAAUGUCUGGGAAACUGCCUGAUGGAGGGGGAUAACUACUGGAAACGGUAGCUAAUACCGCAUAACGUCGCAAGACCAAAGAGGGGGACCUUCGGGCCUCUUGCCAUCAGAUGUGCCCAGAUGGGAUUAGCUAGUAGGUGGGGUAAUGGCUCACCUAGGCGACGAUCCCUAGCUGGUCUGAGAGGAUGACCAGCCACACUGGAACUGAGACACGGUCCAGACUCCUACGGGAGGCAGCAGUGGGGAAUAUUGCACAAUGGGCGCAAGCCUGAUGCAGCCAUGCCGCGUGUGUGAAGAAGGCCUUCGGGUUGUAAAGCACUUUCAGCGAGGAGGAAGGUGGUGA
rnacentral:rRNA from 2 species